UAAGGAGGGUGCGAGCGUUAAUCGGAAUUACUGGGCGUAAAGCGUCCGUAGGCGGCUUGUUAAGUCUGGUGUGAAAGCCCUGGGCUUAACCUGGGAACUGCAUUGGAUACUGGCGAGCUAGAGUUCGGUAGAGGGUGGUGGAAUUCCCGGUGUAGCGGUGAAAUGCGUAGAGAUCGGGAGGAACACCGGUGGCGAAGGCGGCCCCCUGGACCGAGACUGACGCUGAGGGACGAAAGCGUGGGGAGCAAACAGG
rnacentral:rRNA from 1 species